rnacentral:lncRNA from 1 species
CGGCCUUCCUAGGGUAUGUCGUACAGCGCCGCCUGCUGAUGCUGCCAACCGCCAAUGGCGGCGGUGGAUGCGGUGUAGGAGGUUGGGGAUGGUUUGGGGGAGGCGGGAGGGGAGGCGGUGAGGGGUGGGGAGCGGUGGGGGCCGGGCAGCUGGGUUUUGGUGGCGGGGGGAUGGGAGGGGACGGGGGAAGCUGGUUUGAGGGGGAGGGGGAGGGGGAGGGUGGCAGCAUGUGGACUUGGGGACGGAAGGACAAGGUGGCGUGAUGCGGGAGUUGUUGUGGUGGUGGUGGUGGUGGUGGUGGUGAUGAUGGUCGUGAUGGUGGUUGUGUUGGUCUAUCAAGGAGGCGGGAAGUUGCUCAUUAGGCUAGGCGGGAGGUGUGUGCACGGGGGGGUGGGGGGGGGUGAGAUGUGACGGGGUGUAAGGAGGGUAAUGAUGGUUACGGAGCUGCGUCCGCACCGUGGAGGACGAAGAGGCCGUGGGUAAGGAGGGAGACGGCGGCGGCGGCGGCGGUAGAGGAGGAGGCGGUGGAGGAGGAGGAGGCGGUGGAGGAGGAGGUGGUGGAGGAGGAGGAGGCGUACCGUCACCCUAUCCAUCAAGGACAGGGUAAAAAACGAGAGGGAGCCAGAAAACACGAGUGAUGGUGCUCCGGUGGUCCCCCGGUGGUGGAGGGGGAGAUAGAGAGAUAUCGUGUGGUGGCGAACACGGGGGACGCAAACCCUAGGAGGAGCUUUUCCCGCAUCUCGGCGGGAUAUUCCUGCGCGUGUUUGGUGUGAUGGUCUGUUGUUAAGGGGGCCCAGAGUUGUAGAGUUGCCUUUGUGUGUGUGUGUGUGUGUGUGUAUGUGUGUGUAUGUGUGUGUGUGUGUGUGUGUGUGUGCGCGCGCACGUGUGUGUGUGUGUGUUCCAACGGGCGGAAAUUAAUUUCAUUUUACAGGGACUGUGCAGCAGAAGUGCACCGUGCCGUUGUGGGAAUGUGGGAUCUAUUUGAAGUUAAUGGGUUUCAAGGGGGGAAAGCACGAAAGAGGUUUUUCUCGUCUCCGCUUGCUCGCACACGUUUGUUUUGCUGCAGCGUGAGGCAAUUGGGAAAGGUGCGGGGAAAAUGUAAGGAUGUGCGGCAAUGAAAAUGUGCAACAACAGCCACCGUUAGUCAAGACAAACAUGCAAGGGAACCAGGCCGGUGAAUAUCUCGCUGCGAUGGGCAGCACCAGCUUCAAGAAGCAGCAGUUCCUGGCUGACACGGGCUCUUCUCACCUCUGCCAGACAUGCCAGCAUCAGGGAGGGCCCUUUCCGUCGUCGUCAGGUAGCCCAGCCUGUCCACCAACGUGCCCGAGCCAUAAUGAAGGGAAAGGGUCCUCGGUUCAUUGGAUGUAUCGGCCAUGUCUGGGGUCGUGGUCACAACUGCGGAGCAAGCCACCUCGAGCGUAUAUAAUAUACUUGUUUGUGUCCUCUAGUUUCAAAGUCAACCAGCGUGCGCUCGGCUUCGCCGCGCAGGGCAAAAGUGCACAUCAAAAACUCGUUUCCGUUGUCGUCGAUGCGGUACAGGUCAAACACUUGACGACCAGGUUGAUUUCGCUCCUGAUCUGUUGACGUUGUUUGGGGCAUGUGAUUUGCCUUUGGGGAACCAGGACGGGAGCCCUCGCCGGAUUCACUGGCGUAUCGUCUCCGAGACCCGCUCAGGAUGGAAUGCCGAAAAAAACGGGAAACGAUCAUCCCAGGGCAGCUUCAUAAGUUCCAACGCGGGGAAAGUAGAUAUGUGGAUAAGUAUUUUACUCGCGGCACACUCAACUAUUUUUUGUUGCAAGCCAUAACGAUCUCCACAGGCUCAUGCACCUCGAGUUCAGGCGGGCAAACAAGAUGGAAGAGAAAACGCGA